GGGAAGUAAGGGGGGCUGGGGAAUCAUAGGGUUACGCUAGUUAAGGCAAAGGGUGGUUGGGUUCAGCGGAAGGAGUCUUGAUAAUGCAUAGGGAGGAAGAGGAGGGCCGGGCGAGGCCUUGGGAGGCAGGUGGAGGGAGCACAGGGCUUGGGUAGAGUAGAGUACAGCUGGGGGAGGCUAGGUAUGGAUGUUGGCUCCCAGCUUUUUCCAUCCAGACAGCCAUUGUUGAAGAUGACGACCGGGACAAACGCUUGGCGGCUAGAAGGAUUAGAGCGGAGAGUUCAAACCCACAUCCUCUCUCCUCACCCCAGAACAAAAGAAAGACAGAAAAAAGAGGAGGGAGAGAGAGUUCACCCGACAUCCCGACCCCAGCAUCCUCUCCUCACCUCGAUACAAAAGAAUGGCACAGAGGGAGGGCAAGAUGGAAAGAGGGAGGGAUGGAGAACAACAAGCAGGCGUGUCGCCUGGCCUGCGCAUAUAUUAACCGCUCCUUCUCCUCCUUUCUUCCUUCCUUUCAUCUGACCGGACAAAAGAAACCUCUAACGUUUCACAGGAACGUCCAGACAACCAACGAGAGCAGCAGGAUCUCCACCUGUGGAAUCACCCUUUAAUCCCUGUCCAGCCAAUCACAUCGCUCGGAACAAGGCUCGGGCGAUGUACCACAUACACGUUCGAUAAGAGAGACGGAGAAGAAAGGGAGUGAGAAUGGCAGAAUAUAUGGCGUCGAAGAGAAAUGCCACUGACAAUAUUUGGAUACAUUUGGACAAAUGGACCCAACGAGAAAGGGGGAACCCAAAGAUUAACUGAGGUAAUUUGCUAGAUUUGCUACAGCAGAAAAAGCAGGCAAUACAUACAUUCUGCGCUGCCACAUCUGGGUAUACCACCCUCUCACCUAUGCACGGCUCGUGACCACGAGCGCUGGAGCAGGGCCCUCAUCACCGCCGUCACCAACCCCAUCAAAGCCGACUACUAAACCUACAAAAAGCACAUCGCCGGGUAGAAGAAGCACCUGGACGCCAUAUCCAAAUACAGUGGGGCAAAAAAGUAUUCAG